rfam:Myotis lucifugus cont2.3081, whole genome shotgun sequence.
GCCCACGUGGCUCAGUGGUUGAGCGUUGACCUAUGAACCGGGAGGUCACGGUUCAAUUCCUGGCGAGGGCA